GUGAGCCUACGGCAGGAGCUACACCGAGGCAGCUGCAGUCCCACGGCUUUUCCUUGCUCAGCCAGCCUGGAGCCCUGUAGCAAUGCCAGGGUAACCAAAGUAGGAGAAAAAGAAGAAGAGUUGCACCACUAUUUUCAAAAGCUCAGCAAUCAUGAUGUUUAGCGAACACCUCCUGUUGUUACUGCUGUGGCAACAGGCUAAGAGCAUGCCUCUGUAAGACAUCGUCCCGAGCAACUGUGUACGCAUUGUCUCUUCUUAUGUGCCUGAAAGUACACAAGAUUAAUGGCGCUCUGCUUAUGUCUGCAGGGAUACGCGUUUUACAGAUGAGGAAAUUUGCGGUGCUAAGAAAUAGAAGCAACGUGCCCAAGGUCACAGGAUGGUUAACGGAACAGAGGGCGGUCUGCAGCUGUAGGGCGUUGCACCU